AUGGCUCAGCACUUCUCCCUGGACGCCUGCGAUGUGGUCGGAUUCUACCUGGACCACACCCUGUGUCACUACAACCUGCCCGAGAGCGCCCCACUCAUUUAUAAUAGCUUUGCCCAGUUCUUAGUUAAGGAGAAAGGGUAUGAUAAGGAAUUGCUCAAUGUGACCCCAGAGGAUUGGAAUUUCUGUUGCAAGGGUUUGGCAUUGGAUCUAGAAGAUAGGAACUUCCUUAAACUUGCUGAUAAUGGCACUGUUCUCAGGGCAAGCCAUGGCACCAAGAUGAUGACUCCAGAGGUGCUGGCAGAGACAUAUGGCAAGAAAGGGUGGAAGCAUUUCUUGUCGGACACUGGAAUGGCUUGCCGCUCAUGAAAGUAUUAUUUUUACAACUACUUUGACCUGCCGGGAGCUCUUCUAUGUGCCAGGGUGGUGGACUAUUUAACAACAAACAAUGGUCAAAAAACAUUUGAUUUUUGGAAGGAUAUAGUUGCUGCUAUACAACACAAUUAUAAAAUGUCAGCUUUUAAGGAAAACUGUGGAAUAUAUAUUCCAGAAGUAAAAAGAGAUCCAGGCAGAUAUUUACACAGUUGUCCUAAAUCUGUGAAAAAAUGGCUUCGACAGCUAAAGAAUGCUGGGAAAAUUCUUCUGUUAAUUACCAGUUCUCACAGUGAUUACUGUAGACUUCUCUGCGAAUAUAUCCUCGGGAAUGAUUUUGCAGACCUUUUUGACAUUGUGAUUACAAAUGCAUUGAAGCCUGGUUUCUUCUCCCACUUACCAAGUCAGAGACCUUUCUGGAUGCAGAGAAUGAUGAGGAGCAGGAGGCGCUGCCAUCUCUGGAUAAACCUGGCUGGUGCUCCCAAGGGAACGCUAUCCACCUCUAUGAACUUCUGAAGAAAAUCAAUGGCAAACCUGAACCCAAGGUUGUUUAUUACGGCAUGCAUUCAGAUAUUUUCCUGGCUCAUCACUAUAGUAAUUGGGAGACAGUUCUUAUCCUGGAAGAACUCAGAGGGAUGAAGGUGCAAGGAGUCAGAGGCCUGAGAAGUCAGAGCCUCUAGAGAAAAAGGAAAAUAUGAGGGACCAAAGGUAAAGCCUCUAAAUACUUCAUCUAAAAAAUGAGGCUCCUUUUUUUUUUAUUGAUUCAGUGUUGGGACUGGAAAAUACAGAAGACUCCUUGGUUUGUGCAUAGUCUUGUAAGAGAAUCAGUACUUACAGCACUAUUGUAAUUCCAAGUAUUGAAAUAAUCGCAGAAUUACCUCUGGACUACAAAUUUACAAGAUUCUCUUCAAGCAAUUCAAAAACAGCUGGGCUACUAUCCAAACCCUCCAUUGGUCUUAUCAAAUGAUGGGACACUGAUAACUAAAUAAGUUGUCUUUACUGA
rnacentral:lncRNA from 1 species